GAUGAACGCUGGCGGCGUGCCUAAUACAUGCAAGUCGAGCGAACAGACGAGGAGCUUGCUCCUCUGACGUUAGCGGCGGACGGGUGAGUAACACGUGGAUAACCUACCUAUAAGACUGGGAUAACUUCGGGAAACCGGAGCUAAUACCGGAUAAUAUAUUGAACCGCAUGGUUCAAUAGUGAAAGACGGUUUUGCUGUCACUUAUAGGUGGAUCCGCGCCGCAUUAGCUAGUUGGUAAGGUAACGGCUUACCAAGGCAACGAUGCGUAGCCGACCUGAGAGGGUGAUCGGCCACACUGGAACUGAGACACGGUCCAGACUCCUACGGGAGGCAGCAGUAGGGAAUCGUCCGCAAUGGGCGAAAGCCUGACGGAGCAACGCCGCGUGAGUGAUGAAGGUCUUCGGAUCGUAAAACUCUGUUAUUAGGGAAGAACAAAUGUGUAAGUAACUAUGCACGUCUUGACGGUACCUAAUCAGAAAGCCACGGCUAACUACGUG
rnacentral:rRNA from 1 species